AUCUGUUUGUGUCUCAGCCAUCUGUGUUGAUAGUGGAAUUAUUUCUAAGGCUCCACUGAAAAGCUCACCUACCUGUUUAUUCAUUUUUAAUAAUAACAACCUGCUUGCUUUUCAACAGGAGGAACCAGGAUGCAUCUUUCCUGUGUUGGACUCGCCUGAGAUCAGGAGCUAAAGACCAGGGACUCAUUAAGAAUUCACUGCACAGUUAACUUACGGUACAAUGGUUAUACUGUAGAUGUCUACUCACAAGUAUAGCCCAAUGUGUAACCCCAUGAACCUUCGGAUCUUUCUGCUCUGUACAGAGAACAC